rnacentral:rRNA from 1 species
GUCCACGCCCUAAACGAUGUCAACUGGUUGUUGGGGGAGUGAAAUCCCUUAGUAACGAAGCUAACGCGUGAAGUUGACCGCCUGGGGAGUACGGUCGCAAGAUUAAAACUCAAAGGAAUUGACGGGGACCCGCACAAGCGGUGGAUGAUGUGGAUUAAUUCGAUGCAACGCGAAAAACCUUACCUACCCUUGACAUGUCCAGAAUCCUGCAGAGAUGCGGGAGUGCCCGAAAGGGAAUUGGAACACAGGUGCUGCAUGGCUGUCGU